UCGGGAAUUUUGGGCAAUGGGCGAAAGCCUGACCCAGCAACGCCGCGUGAGGGAUGAAGUAUUUCAGUAUGUAAACCUCGAAAGAAUGGGAAGAAUAAAUGACGGUACCAUUUAUAAGCUCCGGCUAACUACGUGCCAGCAGCCGCGGUAAUACGUAGGGAGCAAGCGUUGUUCGGAUUUACUGGGCGUAAAGGGCGCGUAGGCGGCGCCGUAAGUCACUUGUGAAAUCUCUGAGCUUAACUCAGAACGGCCAAGUGAUACUGCUGUGCUAGAGUGCGGAAGAGGCAACCGGAAUUCUUGGUGUAGCGGUGAAAUGCGUAGAUAUCAAGAGGAACACCUGAGGCGAAGGCGGGUUGCUGGGCCGACACUGACGCUGAUGCGCGAAAGCCAGGGGAGCAAACG
rnacentral:rRNA from 1 species